AUAUGGAUGUAAAAAAGCAACUUUAAGUCAGAUUUUAAAAUUCUUGUUGCCCAGAAUGUGCUGGAUGCUGACAUCAACCAUGCGAGGCAGACCACUCAACCUGCUAUGACACCCCUACCGGGUGUCAUGCACAACAAGAGCCUGUCCUCAUGGAAACAAUUCUAGGACACACAGGAGGCAUUGUGAACAACACUCUUAGCAAACUUAGAAAUAUUUUUAAUUGUUGUUUCAAGCUGGCUGAUGAUUGUUUUAGAACAAGUCUCCCAUCAUAGCCUGGAACUUAAUCUGCAGAAUUCCUUAAAAGACACUGAGACCAGCAGACAGUAAUAUAUCAUAUGCCCAACAAAGACUAAAAAAAAAAAAAAAAAAUGUCCUGGACGUUGUCAUAACUCUCCAAGAGUUGUUAGAGUUCACUUAAGUUCUUCUAAAAAUAUGACAGGUUAAACUUCCCCAGCUUGCUUCCUUUAGAUGGACCAUCAAUAAAUAGACAAAUAACAGUUGUUACAAAGUAGCUUUGAGAAAAAAAAAUGUACAAUAUUUAA